AGGAAAAAGGCAAAAAAGCAGAAUGAUAGUAAACCUGAGACGGUGGAUGCUGCUGUAGACCAUGUUGAGGCGAAAAAACUUCAGUUGUCAAGCAAGAAGUUGAAAGUUGAACCUGGACAGGUGUUGCGACGCAAUGAAAUAGCAGAUUCUUCUAAGAAGAUAAAAUCUGCUGAUGGGGCCAUUGAUGCCGCUAAGGCAGUCCACUCAAGCAAAUAUUAUGAUGAGGCUAAAGUGGUGAAAUCAGAGCUGCGACGCAAUGAAAUAGCAGAUCCUUCUAAGAAGAUAAAAUCUGCUGAUGGGGCCAUUGAUGCCGCUAAGUUAGUCUACUCAAGUAAAAAUUAUGAUGAGGCUAAAGUGGUGAAAUCAGAGGUUAAAAAAUCAACACCAGUGGGA
rnacentral:lncRNA from 1 species